rnacentral:rRNA from 1 species
UACGUAGGGGGCGAGCGUUGUCCGGAUUUAUUGGGCGUAAAGAGCGUGUAGGCGGCCAGGUAGGUCUGCUGUGAAACUCGAGGCUCAACCUCAAAAUCGCAGUCGAAACUAUUAGGCUAGAGUAUAGUAGGGGUAAAGGGAAUUUCCAGUGGAGCGGUGAAAUGCGUAGAGAUUGGAAAGAACACCGAUGGCGAAGGCACUUUACUGGCUAUUACUAACACUCAGAGACGAAGCUAGGGUAGCAAUGGG